CUUCAGGGCCACUGUGAGCCUCUGCCCUGGGCAGCUUUCACUAUGCAGAGAAAAUUUCUUUUCUGCCUCUCAUAAACCUAUACUUUAACUGCCUUUUCUGCAUGUCUUGUCCAAUUCUUUGUUCAAGACAUCAACAACCUGGAAAGAAACCUUGUAGGACCAGUUGCAGAGCCAGAAAAAGUGCCCACGGGAAUGCAGACACUGUCACUGCUUUGGAGGCUGGAUAUGCAGCCUAAGGAAAUUAGUGCUUAACAAGAGCCGGGCUCUGCUGGCUUUGCAACUCUUGCCUGGAGGCUGUGGCUGCACCAGGGGCCAAAGCAGUCAGAGAGGCGGGCCUGGCAGAGGCUGUGGUCACCUCUAAGAUUGCUGAGCCUCAGAAGUCCUCAAGGCACACACAGUCAGUAAUAGUCUAGGCUCUAAGAGCCAGAGGAAAGGGGGGGGUGUUUGCAUUUUCCUCAUCUCCACAGCUGCCUCCAGCUGAAGGCCCCUGGCUUGGAGCUCCUGCCUCUACACUGACUUCUGCCCUGAGAAGAGGCUGGUGCCAUAGAGGGGAGUCGGAGGGGCCUUGUCCUGCUGUGAAGAAAGUUCCAGAGUCCUGGCCUGUACUCCCUGGUUGCUGGAAGAAGAUAACUCUUGGGAAGUUUAGAAAUCGUCUCCCAGACAUGUAACAAGGAGUUGCUGAGCUGGUGGUGCUGAGUCUUCUUUGCCAUGGAUUUCACCUUCAGCUGUAACCUCCAUAGAUUUCAAGGGUAUGAAAGGUCCUGAGACUACACUGUUGGAACGACUGCAUCACACCACUCUGCGCUCCCAGAGGUAGACAGGAGGGAGAAGCAUCUUUCCACUUUAUCCACGUUACCCAUUGUUGUUACUGAUUUAUUUUUAAAUCCAACUUGGCUUCUCCCCUGAAAACUGUUGAGAAGUAAAGAAAACUGACCAUAGCUUCCUGAAGUCAAAGCACCUAAAACAAAGAGAAGGCCAUGGAAGUGAGUAAGGGGCUUCUCCAAGACUGCAAGGUCACCCAAGGUCCCUACCGUCCAUGCUGCUGAGAAGCUGCCAGUUUCUUCUUUGCUUGGUUGGUCUCACAACCAACCACCCACUCCCACCCACUAUACCUCAACACCCAACCUGGAGAGGUGUUGUUCUCUGGGUCCUGAAAACACUAAGGGAAGCUGGGAGUAGGGGGCACAUGCCUGUAAUCCCACCACUUGGGAGGCUGAGGCAGGAAGAUGGUGAGUUCCAGGCCUGGAUUGCAUAGAAAGACUAUGUCUCAAAACACACACACACACACACACAUGGGGACUCACUACGGCUUUGGACUGACCCACCCCCGACCUCUCUGGGAUGAUGGCGCAGGGAAGAGCACCCUCAGUCUGUGGUACACUAGCCCCUGUUCUUGGGUUGGGGCUCAGAUGAAAAGCGAAGGUCACUUUUCUAGGCCUGAAGAGGAAAUGUAAAUCUCUCCCAGCCCACGUGGCAGAAGCUGCCAGAAGGCCAUUGCCCUGUUAGUAAACAGGGCUGCCUGGGCCAUCUUUCUCUUUUGUAAUAACCUGCAGGGCACCUAUUGAUUGCACGUGCUGGUCCCUCAUAAGUGAGGACAGGGCUGUCUUCCGGUUGCUCUGGAGCUGUGAGGGUGCCUAAAUUGGCUGACUAAUACUGCAUGCUCAUGGAGCACAGUGUCCUGUGCCACCUAAACAUGAAGAAUAUGUAUCAUCAGGCGCCGUGAGAGUGCAGGCCCCAACUCCAGCGGCUUCAAGGCUUCCGGGCGUGCUGCAGACUGCAAUUAGGCAGUUUGCUUGCCUCCUCCCGAGAGGAAAGAACACUGAUGUGGCUCCUGCUGCAGCCUGAGCUACUUUAAGAUGGAGGGAGCGGCAGGUCUUGGAGGGUGGGCAAUGGGCCAGCUCCUCACCUCAGCUACCCCCUCAGCAGGAAUGGCAGCCAGCAAAUAGAAACCAACCCACAUCUUUUAGCCUGUGGUGGACAGAGUUAUGACUCAAAAGACACGUUCAAAACCCCCACUUCGGCCACUUUUGGCUGUGUGAUAUUAGUGGCUUAACCUCUCUGAGCCUCAGCAUCUCAUCUGGAAAGUUGAGAAAAUAAUAUUUCCUUAAUUGUUCAUGUGGUUAGGCCUGCCUGGAACCCAGUAUCCUCUCAUAAAUACCGGCACUGAGUCAAAAGCAGCUGAACACAGCAGUAGGUACCGGACUGAAACUACUUUUCCUUUCCACCCCUGAAAUCUGGCACCAGGAACUUUUCAGUGCUAUUGCCAGGCAAUGCCUUGCUAUCUAAGAAGUGAGGCCAGGAAACUCCUGGCUUGAUAAAUUGGAAUUAUCUCUCCCAUCCCUUUCAUCUUUCUGUGCCCCUCCUGACCUAGCUUCUGAAUUUAACAUUGAUUCCACAGGGAAUGUCACUAAAAUGUAUCGUGAACACAGAGAAGCAUGGCACCAUAGCUUACCCUUCUAAAAGAAAACCUUGGCACCCGCAGGCCCACCCUGGGCAGAGCCUUCAGAGCGUCUCUAACUCUGGCCCUGGACAAUGGGCUCUAUGAGUAGCACUGUCCUUGCAGCUCACUUGUGGCUCCUUUGUUGAUGUUGCCACAAUCAAAGCCGAUGAAAGGACGGUGUGAAGAGCCAUAUUUCCAUAUUUUCCUCCUGGUCCUGGAAAUGACAUCUACUGCCUUGGGACGGAGGGUACAGUGGGUGAAUGGUGCCCCCCAAAUAUAUGAUCACACGGGGACCCUGUGAGUGUGAUCUUCUUUGGGCAAAGGGUCUUUACAGAUGUGAUUAAAUCAGCAUCUUGAGCUGCCAUUGUUCUAAAUUACCUGGGGUGGGCAGGCGGCGUAAAUGGAGUGACAAGGGUCCCUUGAGACAGAAGAGGGACUGGCACAGAGAGAAGCUCAGGAGAAGAUGAUGGAGAUGCAGCCUGGAGUGAAGCAGCCCCAGUCAAGGCUUCCUGGGCCAUCAGGAGCGGGGGGGGGGGGGCAGAGGAAGACUGUCUGGAGAGCCUUUGGAAGGAGGGAGUGUGGCCCUGCUGACACCUGGGUUUGGGACUCUGGCUUCUACAAUUGGGAGAGGAUGAAUUUCUAUUACUUUAGGCUACUGCUGAGGCUUAGAUACGGUUUUUCUCCAAAAGCUCAUGUGCCCGAGACUUGGUCCCUGAUGUCCUGGUAUUGAGGUGUUGAUGACUUUCAGAAGGGUGAUUAGCCAGGGGCAGCACCCUCAGAAAGACCGGCUUGGUUACCCUCAUAGGGGAUUGAUAAAAACGAAUGUGGCUUUCUUUUUUGUUGUUGUUUUUUUGAGACAGGAACUCACUAUGUAGUUCAGGCUGGUCUAGACUCACUAUGUAGCCCAUGCUGGCUUCAAACUCAUGGCAAUCCUCCUGCCUCAGCCUCCUGAGUGCUGGCAUUACGGGGAUGCACCACUAUGCCUGGCUUCUUCUCUCAGCAUAUGACCUCUCCUGCCUGUGCUGCUGCCCUGUGAUGCCAUCUGCCCAGAAGCUGAGGCUACACAAUGCCACACACUUGGACCUCCAGAACUGUAAGCUAAAUAAACCUCCUUAUUUUCUUUAUGAAGGAAGGUAUCUUAUGAUACGAACAAGGUAUCUUGUUAUAGCAACACACAGUGGACUGAGAGCCACCAAGCUUGUGGUCGUCUGUGAUGGCGGCUCUACUCCAGCAUGCUCCUGGGGUGGGACACAGCUCAAGGUCAUCUUCCACGGGUGAUGUUUUCCCUGUCUGUGGCAGGACUUACCUGAACAACAGCCUCAGCUGGCCUGGCCUGCAAUCCAGGAGCCGCAGACAACCAGAUAGGAGUGUGGCUGAGGAUCUGCCUGGGACAGAGCCUUCUGAAAUGCUGGAAACAGGCUCCAUCUUAGAACUAGACAGACUGAUGUUGAAAUCCCAACACUGACUGACUCUGAGGCCUCUCUGCCUUUCAAGUCCCUCAUCAAUAAAGCGAGGAAAUAAUGUUUACCUUGUAGGCAAGAGCAGGUCCAGCAUCCAAAGCUUACAGAAUUUGGGUGACACUUUAAAAGAGAAAGAAUACAACGAUUUAAAUCCAAAGUUAGGGAAGGAGUCUUGGGAGGCCCUGUAUAAGUUCGGGCCCCUGAGGUGUAAGUCAGGCCCACUCUGUUCAUUGGUGCUCAGAGAAUCACAGGUGAAAACAGGGAGCACAAGGCAGAGCCUGGAUCCUGCUGAGAGCUCUGUAAGAGACAAAAGUUGUCAGCUGGGCGUGGUGGUGCACGCCUGUAAUUCCAGCGCUUGGGCGGCUGAGGCAGGAGGAUCACUUCAAGUGAGUUCUCUGUCUCCAAAAAAAAAAGAAAAGAAAAGAAAAAGAAAGUAUGGAGAUAUGUGUGGAACACAGAAGAAACUCUGAAGGAUACAUUCCAUAGAGACUGCAGUUGUUGCUCUCUUGUCUCUUUUCCCUUCCUUUUGGUAACAGGAAACUGACUUCUAGGACGAUGGCUGUGUGCUCAGCUAAAGCCACCUGUCCCAGCUUCUCUCACAGCUGGGUGUAGCCAUGAGACUAAAUUUUGGCCAAGGAAGUAUAAACAAAGCGUGAUGGCUGAAAUCCAGCUUCCCCAGAGUUCACAGAGGAAGCGCUCACCUCGUGCUCAGAGUGUGGCCCUAACGGAAAGAGGGUCCCUGAGGACAUUAACCGAGGGGAUGGGGGACUCACAUCCCACAUGAAUAAUGGCCUAAUGAAAAGGGGAAAUUAAGACGCGCACGCGCACGGAGAGCGCUGCGUGAAGAUGGGGCAGAGACCAGCAGCUACUUCUACAAAUCCAGGGACCUCAAAGGCUGUCGCAGAAGUCAGGAGAGGCAGCAGUGCUCAGAAGGCACCAAUCCUGGGUUGCCAGCCUCCAGACUGAGAGAAGGGCGACAGUUUCUGUCAUGUAAGCCGAUCGGGUGCGGCACUUUGUUACCGCAGCCCUAGAAAACGAAUGCAGACAGAUAACGUUCUUCUUCAACCAGCAGACGGAGACCGGUAUCGCAAAUGGCAGACAGAGUGCAAGGAGGAACCCGGGACCCCAAAAACCUCAGGGAGCUGUCACAUUACUCUUGCACUGCCUACCCCGGGGCUUAUUUUCUAGAAAAAUAAACUUAAGCUUUUGUUAUUGUUUUAUUUGGUUUUUGAAAUAUACGAUUUUGAUAAAUUACUCUUUGAGGGGAGGGCUUGGAAUUGAAAUAUCAGUGAAGAAUUUUUGCUUUACCUGUAACGUUUCAAUUCUGAUUUCAAGGAUAUAUUUAGGUAUUCUUUUGUAACUAAAAUAAAAUUAUUUCAUAAAUUACAUGAGAAAAAAGUAUGAGAACAAAGAUUCAAAAAGAUCUACGAAAUAUUAUCAACUGCAAUGUAUGAAUCUUAUGUGGAUCCUGGCUUACCAAAAGAAAGGGAAAUUUUUUGAGACAAGCUCUCACUGAGAGUCUAGGCUGAGGCAGGAGGAUUGCUGUGAGUUCAAGGCCAACCAGGACUACAGUCAAUUCAAGACCAGCUUGGACUACAAAGUGAGACAUUGUAAAUAAAUAAGUAAAAUAAGCCAAAAUAAAUAAAGUUAUGAAACAGAUGAGUACAUUUAACAGCCGUUACCCCCCCC
ensembl:lncRNA